CACAUCAUCAACUUCUCCAAUCAC
rnacentral:siRNA from 1 species